rnacentral:rRNA from 1 species
CAGUAGCCACGGUAAUACGUAGGUGGCAAGCGUUGUCCGGAAUUAUUGGGCGUAAAGGGCUCGCAGGCGGUUUCUUAAGUCUGAUGUGAAAGCCCCCGGCUCAACCGGGGAGGGUCAUUGGAAACUGGGAAACUUGAGUGCAGAAGAGGAGAGUGGAAUUCCACGUGUAGCGGUGACAUGCGUAGAGAUGUGGAGGAACACCAGUGGCGAAGGCGACCCUCUGGUCUGUAACUGACGCUGAGGAGCGAAAGCGUGGGGAGCGAACAGGAUUAGAUACCCGGGUAGUCCCUGUCUCUUAUAC